AUUGAACGCUGGCGGCAGGCCUAACACAUGCAAGUCGAACGGUAACAGGAAGAAGCUUGCUUCUUUGCUGACGCGUGGCGGACGUGUGUGUCACGUCUGGGACACUCCCUUAUGGCUGGGGUUAACUACUGGAACCGGUAGCUAAUACCGCCUAUCGUCGCAAGCGCAUAGGUGGAGACCUUCGGGCCGCUUUCCAUCGGAUUUGCCCAGGUGGGAUUAGCUAGUAGGUGGGGUAACAGGUCACCUAGGCGACGAUGCAUAGCUGGUCUGAGAGGAUGACCAGCCACACUGGAACUGAGACACGGUCCAGACUCCUACGGGAGGCAGCAGUGGGGAAUAUUGCACAAUGGGCGCAAGCCUGAUGCAGCCAUGCCGCGUGUAUGAAGAAGGCCUUCGGGUUGUAAAAUACUUUCAGCGGGGAAGAAGGGAGUAAAGUUAAUACCUUUGCUCAUUGACGUUACCCGCACAAGAAGCACCGGCUAACUACGUG
rnacentral:rRNA from 1 species